UUUAGAGGACUAAACUCUUUUCAAGGGGGGGAGAUUGUAAGUUUAAAGGGGAGCAGCUCAAAGCUUGUUGUUGUGGCAUCUUCAGGAGGCUGAAUUGCUAGGUUGUUCUUCUCUUGAAGCUUGGAGUUGGAGGGAGAUUCUCUUCACCGGCGGAUCCUCGGAGAGAUUAAAGAUCCAUACCGGGCUGUAGUUCGCGGGGCUUGGUGAACCCAACUCUGUAGCUCGGAGCCAGGAGAAGAUCAAGUUUAGGUCUGGGGAGGGUGUCAGAGAGUCGUAUUUGUCUGCGUUAUCAGUAUCUUGUUAUUACCUGCUUGAGAGUGUAAGACUUGUAUUCUGACUGUAUUUGUACUAUGCAAACUGUUGGAUUGUAUUUGUAUUCUGUAGGGCUGCUAAAGCCCGUACUUGUAGUAUGUCAGUUUUCAGUACCCUAUUUGUGCUUUUAUGUUCUAUUCAUAUUUGCUUGUUA